rnacentral:misc_RNA from 1 species
CAAUUCAAGUUAUAUGCACAGGAUGAUAAAUUAAGUGCGACGUGUGCCGUAAAUUCAUUUCUAAUGUUGAAGAUGGUCAAUAAAUGCUUUUUAACGAUUGAUUUAUUUGAGAGAUAAAUGUAUUUUAGUGGAAAUAAUGAGCAUGGGACUAUUUGUUUGGUGUCGAAUUAUUGUGACUUUAAUACAACUGAAAUAGGAUCAUGAAAUAUAAUGACUGAUAUUAUAAUUCAAGUUCAGUGUCGUGUUUAAUGGUUUCUGUGAAGGCUUGUUAUAUAUUGUGAUAAAAUAGUUCGAUGAAAAUAAGAAAAAAAUUGUUCAUAAAUCUUUUAAUUUUAAACUUAGAGACAUCCUUGAACCAGUGACCUUGUGGGUUCAGUUCCGACAAGCAUCAGGACCACAACUCGUGAGACACCCAGGAUAUUUUCCCUUAAAGUAUGCUGGUAGUGUGAUUACUGGAACUGACUUAGAAUUAUUACCUCCCACUCGUGUAAGUGCGAGUCGCGCUCAAUCGAACCUAUUUGUGUAAGGCCCGUGGUUCUACCCAGGUGCCCACCCAUACCUUAAUUAUUAUCUGAACAGAGAACAGAAGAUAUGAUUUGUUUUUGUUUACAUCGGAGAACAUUUCACAACGACAAGUCACACCAAACUAAUCAUACUAGGGAAGUCCGGGCAUCAACGUCAGUGUUUUGGACCAAUGGAGCUGUAACACUAUAUCCAAGAGGUCAAUAAAGUCAUGCCGGAUCACAACAAUUUGUUCCUGUUGGGUUUAACGACACACAACACAGUCAUAGGUCAUAUUUAUGGCGACUUUCUAACUUUUCAUGGUGGAGGACGACCCCAGAUACCCUCCGAGUAUUCCUUCAGGCACAGGCGGGCACUUAGGUAGAACCUUCUGUAACCCCUCACUUGAAAGAAGCCUACACCCAAAGCGAGGUUUCGAACCUACAGUAGUGAGGGGCUUGAUAUUCAAAGUCAGCGACCUCAACUUCUCGGCUACAGCAGUGAGGGGCUUGAUAUUUAAAGUCAGCGACCUCAACUUCUCGGCUACAGCCGUGAGGGGCUUGAUAUUCAAAGUCAGCGACCUCAACUUCUCGGCUACAGCAGUGAGGGGAUUGAUAUUCAAAGUCAGCUACCUCAACUUCUCGGCUACAGUCGGCUACAGCAGUGAGGGGCUUGAUAUUCAAAGUCAGCGACCUCAACUUCUCGGCUACAGUCGGCUACAGCAGUGAGGGGCUUGAUAUUCAAAGUCAGCGACCUCAACUACUCGGCUACAGCCGGCUACAGCAGUGAGGGGAUUGAUAUUCAAAGUCAGCGACCUCAACUACUCGGCUACAGCCGGCUACAGCCGGCUACAGCAGUGAGGGGCUUGAUAUUCAAAGUCAGCGACCUCAACUUCUCGGCUACAGUCGGCUACAGCAGUGAGGGGCUUGAUAUUCAAAGUCAGCGACCUCAACUUCUCGGCUACAGUCGGCUACAGCAGUGAGGGGCUUGAUAUUCAAAGUCAGCGACCUCAUCUACUCGGCUACAGCCGGCUACAGCAGUGAGGGGCUUGAUAUUCAAAGUCAGCGACCUCAACUACUCGGCUACAGCCGGCUACAGCAGAGCAGUGAGGGGCUUGAUAUUCAAAGUCAGCGACCUCAACUUCUCGGCUACAGCCGGCUACAGCAGUGAGGGGCUUGAUAUUCAAAGUCAGCGACCUCAACUACUCGGCUACAGCCGGCUACAGCAGUGAGGGGCUUGAUAUUCAA